rnacentral:rRNA from 1 species
AGUGAACGCUGGCGGUAGGCCUAACACAUGCAAGUCGAACGGCAGCACAGGAGAGCUUGCUCUCUGGGUGGCGAGUGGCGGACGGGUGAGGAAUACAUCGGAAUCUACUUUUUCGUGGGGGAUAACGUAGGGAAACUUACGCUAAUACCGCAUACGACAUACGGGUGAAAGCAGGGGAUCUUCGGAACUUGCGCGAUUGAAUGAGCGGAUGUCGGAUUAGCUAGUUGGCGGGGUAAAGGCCCACCAAGGCGACGAUCCGUAGCUGGUCUGAGAGGAUGAUCAGCCACACUGGAACUGAGACACGGUCCAGACUCCUACGGGAGGCAGCAGUGGGGAAUAUUGGACAAUGGGCGCAAGCCUGAUCCAGCCAUACCGCGUGGGUGAAGAAGGCCUUCGGGUUGUAAAGCCCUUUUGUUGGGAAAGAAAUCCAGCUGGUUAAUACCCGGUUGGGAUGACGGUACCCAAAGAAUAAGCACCGGCUAACUUCGUGCCAGCAGCCGCCGUAA